rnacentral:lncRNA from 1 species
GGGCCACCGGAGGCUUAAUUAUGUUUUCUUAACUUACAAAAACCUUUGGCCUCGGAAAAUCCCCGCACUCCCCCAAAGUAAUGAAGAUAUUUGGAAGGCCACCCACCAACACCAGAGGUUUUUCCCAGUCUGGUCAGCCGUCCAGAUGGACUGAGCCACAGAGACCUGGAAGCCUAUGGGGACUCCAUCCAAUAAAGGCAAAUAAAGAGAGCCUGAAAGUAUAGCUUGGCACCUACGCAGCAAGCCACUCCUGUCUACAGUGCUCAUGAACCUUCCAGAAUCAUGGAGAAGACCUGCCGUGCAUGGCCCUUAUUGCAAGUUUGCUUCUGCCACAUCUGGGUCUCCCGAGGUCGGAGAGGAUCGUCUUUAAUAUUCCUUGGUAGAUUCCAGAAAACCGCAAAAGGAUUUAACCAAAAGGAAGCAAAGGUUUUCUUUUUAUAAAUUCGAUUAGUCUUUUCCACUUUCUCUGCCUCCGGACAUUUCCUCUGGGAGGAAUUUUAUACCCAGACACCCCUUUGCGAGGCACUGUUGCAUGCGGAGCGCAGAGAACUUAAGCGCAACCUGGAGGAGCAUUUGCGGUUCCCGGUCCAUUCCAUUCUUAAAUGCCGGUGUGGGAAUAGCUCUGCAAGAAGAGGAAGAUGAAGUUUGCGGCGCACAGGGAGUAAGGGAUUCACUGCUCGGGUGGAACCCUGCCUCAGCUGCGCUAGACUGAAUUUCCUUCUAGACCCAGCACCUGGAAACCCUGUCUUCCCGCGGGGACACAGGUCUUGAGAACGUCGUUGCUGGUGGGCAACGGUACCUCUCCGCUCUUUAUCUUUGACCUUCACUUCUCCAGCAAUCAGCUGCUGGGCAGCGCUCACAGUUCACUCUCCAAGGCCUCGGGUUCGAAGCUGCUGCGCCAAGGUCUGAGAAGAGGUUAGGAUUUGAACUGCAGUUCGCUUAAGAAGAGUCUGACAUUCUCAGGAAAGCAGAGUCCCAAACCUGGGGAAAGGCGAAGCUACGGAAUGCUUUUCCAAUUUUGACUUUUGUUUUAAGUCAGCACCGCCACCCCAAGCCCUAAGUCUAGAAAAGAAUACUUAGAAGCCACUUCAAUCUUUCUUCCCUGUUCUUCCCACCCCCACACUGCAGGCAUCCAGACAAGAAAACACAAAUAAACCCCAGGUGGUUAAUGGUGGUGCAUCCAGGCGCUCCAUCCCCAAACACACACACACACACACACACACACACACACACACACACACACACACACACACACACACACACACACGGAGCACACCAUCCACUUGAUCCCACCCACCACCGGGGAGGGGAGGGACUGGGAACCUGAUCUCCCGGCUCCUGCCCAGUACGUUUCCCCAUCAAUAAUGUUGAUACCAUCGAAGUGCCUGCUCCCCGCCCCCGGGGCGCCGCUGCCGCCUUUUUGCCGCUUUUUGCCCGGCAUAGGAAAACGAAACCUCCUCUACUGCCCUUGUAGCCCCUGCCUGGAGCCUGGGCUGGAAAUUUCGGAAGCUGGGACACAGCCAGAGCGCUUAGGGCCCACCUCCACUUGUAGAGUGGGUGCUCAAACUGCACAGAUGGAACCUGAAAAAGAGUCAGGGGCCCACAUAAGGCCUCAAUCACAUCCCACACCAGGGUCAGACUGGGCCAUAAUUAGAAAACUUUGCGGGUAGAAGAACCAGGCCUCAGAACAGAAGGCCUUCAUGCGACCACCCCUUCCUAAAAUUGGAGCUCAAACAAAGAAGUCCGGAAACACCUUCCUUGAAAAUUUCUCUAUGGCCGCAGCCCUAGACCACCGCCCUCGGGCCAGCCAACUCACCGCGGACAAACUAGACCUCGGGAAACUGAGGCUAUACUGUGGAGGGAACAUAGACAUCCCCGCACCCCAAAGGCAGUUUGUACAAUUGCUAAGUGCCUCCACAGGGUCCGUUUCGUCUUGGUCUGAGAGGUCGCGACCCCCACGCAGCUGUCACCUCAUUUGGGGCUAUCCCCAUUCCCUAUUGGGUAUCUGUCCCUAAAUACCAGCCCCCCACCCCCCACCCCAGGAUCCUACAAGCCACAACCUCUUCGCCGUAUUUCCCAGGAGCAGCCCCCAUCCAUGGUUUGGAGGACUCGACCCUAUGGAGCGCCCUGGCCUGGAGGUGUGCAGGUUAGAAGGAACCCCAGCUGUGGCACCUCACUAUCCUUCUCUUUCCCGACCCGUUCAAAAAUAAAAAAAUAAACCCCAAU